rnacentral:rRNA from 1 species
GAGAGUUAAACAGUACGUGAAAUUGUUGAAAGGGAAACGAUUGAAGUCAGUCAUACCAACGGGAAAUCAACCUCUUGAGUUUGGUCUCGUGGGUUUCGAAGAGUUUUAAAAGCCUUCGGAUUUUCGAGAUUGGGCUCUUCUGGUGUACUUUUUCGCGUGGCAGGUUAGCAUCAACUUUGAUGGUUGUAAAAUGGUGGUCGGAAGGUGACUCUUUUUUGAGUGUUAUAGCCGGCUGCAGAUGCAACGAUCGGGGUUGAGGUUUGCGGCAAAUGCCUUUGGGCUACUUACCUUCCUUCUGAUCUGUUCACUUUGAAAUGACAGCUUGCUGACAUUUUAGGGGGCGUUCAAUCAAUAGGGUAGAGUAGGAUAAAUUUGCCAAGGAUGCUGACGUAAUGACCUUAAACGA